rnacentral:rRNA from 1 species
UACGGGAGGCAGCAGUGGGGAAUAUUGCACAAUGGGCGCAAGCCUGAUGCAGCCAUGCCGCGUGUAUGAAGAAGGCCUUCGGGUUGUAAAGUACUUUCAGCGGGGAGGAAGGCGAUGCGGUUAAUAACCGCGUCGAUUGACGUUACCCGCAGAAGAAGCACCGGCUAACUCCGUGCCAGCAGCCGCGGUAAUACGGAGGGUGCAAGCGUUAAUCGGAAUUACUGGGCGUAAAGCGCACGCAGGCGGUCUGUUUAAGUCAGAUGUGAAAUCCCCGGGCUUAACCUGGGAACUGCAUUUUGAAACUGGCAGGCUUGAGUCUUGUAGAGGGGGUAGAAUUCCAGGUGUAGCGGUGAAAUGCGUAGAGAUCUGGAGGAAUACCGGUGGCGAAGGCGGCCCCUGGGACAAGACUGACGCUCAGGUGCGAAAGCGUGGGGAGCAAACGAGGAUUAGGAUACC